rnacentral:rRNA from 1 species
CCAAAGGGUGAGGGUGGAAUGGGCUUUCGUGACCUGAGGUUAUUUAAUCAAGCUCUUCUGGCAAAACAAGCUUGGCGUUUACUGGUUAACCCGGACUCAUUAUGUGCUAAGGUAAUGAAGGCAAAGUAUUAUCCUCAGGGGCAUCUUCUUGACACGGUUUUUCCUCAGUCAACCUCAGUGACUGGGCAAGGUAUG